AGGUUGGAGCACCCUGGGAACAGUGGAAGGUGUCCCUGCCUAAGGCAGGGGAGUUGAAAUUGGAUGAUGUUUUUAAGGUUCUUUGCAACCUAAACCAUUCUCUGGUUCUAUAACUUAGACUACAUUAUGUCUAAUCUAAAUGUUAACAAAUUUCCAAAAUUCCGUUUUAAUGUGAACUUCUGAUUUCUCUGUGGAAUGUGUUGGGCAAAUCCUGCCUUGGAUUGUGAGCUUUCCUGAGGCAUGGUUUGUAUCUCUGUACUGAGUGUAGAACCAUUCAAUAAAUACCAGUUUGUGAUUAAACUAAUCAGUCUUGUUUCUGAUUUCUAGCAUAAAAAUCCUGCCCCCGUGGAUGUAGCUGUUACAGCCAGCACAAUUAGGAGGCUCAUGGCACAUCACCCACCGAGCUGCUGUGAGCAGAAGGACUUUAUUUCCGUAUAGCCAGUGAACAGGAGAGCCCUGAAACUUGAAGCUGUCCUGGCUGUGCUGGAUCUUUGCUCUGUGCCCCAUCCCCCUGUGCACACCCUUACAGGGCAACUGGAAAUGAGUGGAAGAAAUGAGCAGUGGAGGUCACUUUGGUGAGCCUUUUUAUCAUGGCCUGUUGUGUUAACUGCACCAAGCUAACAGCUGAGAAGCUCUAGAGUGGGAUAAUCACAGUAAGUCACUUUAGUAUCUAAUCUCUUUGUAAACCGACACGCUGUGAGGGAGAAACUUUUCAUUUUUUAGAUCACUGUUCAAAGCAGCAGUUCUUGUGCUAUCUGUACUUUGUUAGUACCAAAGGUCUUGUAGAUGCAGCACGGGAGAUUUGCCUGGGGAAAUGCAUUUGAGGCUUAGCUUGAGCAAAUUAAAGGCUUCUUAAUUUAAAAACAAUUAAAAGCAUUAAGGCACUCUAAGCAUGACACUGGUCAUUGGUCACAUGGAGUUCUAAGUGAUGGCUGUAAGUAAAUUAGUUAAAAUAAUACCCUUAAACACUUGAAAAUGUAUUGGUGUAUUAGUUGCAGAAUAUACAGAAGUCUUGCCCAAAGUCUUCCAUACAUGUGGCACUUGAUAAGAAAAAGCAAAUUUAGGAAUGUCUGCAUCUUACAGGUCUCUUUAUAAGAACAGCAGAAUAAGUAACUAUUGAAUGUAUCACGUGGCUUCCUUCAGAUCCCAGAUAAAGUAAAAAGAUUUCUGUGACAAGUAAGAUGGUUUUAUUCUGUUCAGUAAUCACAUACUGCUCUUGGCAUACUGGAUUUUUUGUAGAUAAAAACUCAGAAUGCAUGUACGAUUGCAGCCAAAAUACUGUAGAAAUAUUAAAAAUAUUGGAUCUUACUUUAACACUGGGCUUCUUUCUAUUUAGUGACGGACAGUGCUACUCUGUCAGACUUUGCAGUUGUUCAGGAGACUUGUAGCUUUUCUUUCUGUUUCCAUUGUUCUUUUUUUAAAAGCUUUUUUUAAACAUUUCUAUUCUGUAGUUAAAUAAGCAAUGCUUUUGCAGAUCCUCUAUGUGGAACUGCAGUAUUUCUGUACAAAUUAAAGUUGCAUGCUUCCCACAAAGCUUUAUUAUCUAAAUGAUUGCAAACUGCUCAGAGGAGCAUGGUAAGAAGUUGUGAAGUGCAGGUAUAAAGAGAAAAUGCCAGUUAACGUGAAGCUGACAGCAAAAGCUUCAACCAGUAAUAGCUGGAUUAUAAAAAUGGAAGAUCAAACAUUUCCUGGUCAUGGAGAAAAUUGUGCUGCACUGUUAAACUAUCAGCAUUAAGUUCCUUCAUUUUUAUAAUCGUGUGUUAGAGAGGGCAAAAAACCAAACCAACUUAAAUGAAACCUGUUAAUGUUGAAUGCUUGCUUACGUUUUCCCCAGCUCUGGGACGUUCCUGUCCUCAGCUUCAAAAAAUGGACAUUGAAUUAUUCAAACAUAACUUCAUGCUGAUUUUAAUCAUUGCCUUGGGAGGGAUCCUACUGGAGAAGGCACAAAGCCUGGCAACCCUCAGGAAGCCUGAACUGAUGCAUUCUCUCCACUGAAGUUCAGUGCUGAUUUCUUAGAUCUGCUCCGGAGAUGUUUUGCAGCAGUGCAGUAUCUUCUGGACAUGAGUAAUGAUGAAAAUAUUUAUGAUGUAGAGCACUGUCAAAUACUUGUGUGAGAAAAAUCUCAGAAUUGGGAUUUCUAUCAGCACUGCACAAAUAAUACUCACUUUGUCAUUGCUUUUCCCAGUAACACCAGUAAAGUGAUCCAUGCUCAUCUGGCCAAGCUCUUGGCAGCAGCCUCAGUGAUCUCCAGGGAGGAGCAGCCCCAUUUUUCCUGAAUAAACCAUGUCCAGACUUGGCUGUGCUUUGUGGUGCAGAUCUGAGCUGCAGUCCCACGUGUUGCAGUGAGUGCAGGAAGCAGUGAUGCAUUCACGGAGGGUGCUGUUGGCAGCCCAGCACCACCAGAGCAGUUCCAGCUCUCAGCUGAGGGAGCUGCUGCUUCCCCCCAGCCUGUGAGCUGUGGCAUCUAUCAGGCAAUCUUUUAAUGCCAGACAGAAAAUGUUCCUUGUUUUCAGACUGAUUUGGUAAUCUUAUGUUUGGACAGAAAAAGAGUUUGUGUUGUAAGAGGUUAUUUUUAUUCUUUCUGGUAUGUAAUUCUAUGAUAGCUGACAUAUUUGUAUCAAAUGCUAAUGUUGGCUAAUUUAGGAGCUACAUGCUUCUUGUCAGGGUUUACUUAAGCAUGGAUUCUAAAGCCAGUUUCUGCAUGUUUUGGCACAUGGUGUUAUCUGAAUAUAGAUGUUUAAUUUCUAUUUGAUGUCUAAUAAAGGGAUGCAGGAUAUGGAAUUUGAUUACAAAUACA